GCGGGAGUAGUUCAAUGGUAGAACCUUAGCCUUCCAAGCUAAUGAUGCGGGUUCGAUUCCCGUCUCCCGCUCCA
rnacentral:tRNA from 2 species